AUGGCACGAAUCAAUGUGUUAUUUUAUCAGGUAGCAAUAUGUCCUAGUGCAGUCAGAGGGGAAGAGCCAGGGCCAAAGACGGUGCAGGUGUAUUUGCCUGCUUCUCCAUCUGUGGGUCUCUCCAGGGUCAGACUGAGGUCUCCAGUUUUCAGCAGAUCUUCAUUCAUCUUUGUUCGGUCUCUGUAAACCUGGUGCUGUUCUUCAGGCCGAUAAGAGCCAUUCUUAUACACGUGGACCUUUUCAAAAUUACUGUCCAUCCACUCCACUUUAGCGUCUUCAGGGAGGAGACGUGUGGUUUUGCAGGCCAGCUGAACAGACUCCACCCCUGAAUCCACCUCCACCUGGGGGACUGAGAGGACAACAAAGGACAACAUGAGUUGUACAGACAGAAGCAGCAGCACUAAGAAUAUUUUCUUUGACUGAAAUAUUGAACAGAAUUAACAUUUCAACAAAAAGAGGAAGUAAAAUAAAAAUGUCAGACUGAUACUGAUGAAUUAAAACUUUGAUGUAAUGGAAAUGGUAAAUGUAAAAGCCUGUGUAUUAUUUCACUGUUUCACUUGUUGUUGUGAUAGAUUUUAUUUAUCAGGUACAAACCACUCCUGUAGCUGUCACAUUGAAAUGUAAUUAUUAUGUGAUUGCAAUGUUCAAAAUUGGUUGUUUAAUCUGGUUUCAUGUGUGUUAUUUCCACCUACUGGUGGACUUGAGAGUUGUGCUUAUGGUGCGCAUUCUUUUGGCGGAUGUUCAAUUCAGUGCAUAUCCUGCCAGAGACUCAAGCCAGAAAGAGCAGGCUGGCCAUGUAUAAGACGAAAAUAUGGACACUGUGGACUGAAAGUCCUCGUGGAUGUUUGGCAGAAAGGCGCACACGGUAUGUUUGUGUAUUUUACUUUGUGUACGUUUUAUUUGUAUUGUAAUUUUAUUUUGCUGAUAUAAUAUCUGUCUUCAUUUCUUAUUUUACUUUUCCUCUGGAAAAGGUGAAAAAUUUUGCUUCAUCCAAUAAAGCCAAAAAUC
rnacentral:lncRNA from 1 species